GAGAACCCGUAGCUCACCGUUAACGAGAAGAGAGGUGUUUCCAUCGCAAGCUUCUGCCGUUGCCAGUGACGCCAUCUGAGAUGUACGUUUAAAAGAAUUUAAGAUCAUAUACAGAUUAAUUUUAUCAAAUACAUAUAAAACAAAUCAUUUCCUCUUAUUUUUGGAUUGCAGAUCGAUCUUUAGAAUCCAAAUUAACCGGCCGGCAAGGUAACAUGCCGAUCGACAAAGAACAAAUACAUGAUUUAAUUUGCUGAAAUUCUAAGAACAAAUCAUUUAAUUUGCAGAAAAAUCUCCGAUCCCCAAAAUUAAAAUUUCAGAAUUGAAACCAAAAUAAAAUAAUCGAAUUCAAAAAAAACGAAGAAACAUACCACAGAUUCUGCCA
rnacentral:lncRNA from 1 species